CAUCUUUUUAAAUGAGGUCGAGGCUUGAAGAGUGGAGAGAACUUUAAGUUGUUAUAUGACUUGGCAGAUCAACUACAUGCUGCAGUUGGUGCUUCCCGUGCUGCUGUUGAUGCUGGCUUUGUUCCCAAUGACAUGCAAGUUGGACAGACGGGAAAAAUAGUAGCACCAGUAAGUAUUGCAAUAAAAUAUGCUGUGUAAAAUGUUAUGGGGAUAAGUACUGUAUGUAUUUGUUGAACAGUGAUCUCAGUGAUUUACCUUACUCAGUGUUCCUGAGCAGUUAGCCAGUACCAUGGUGAAUAUGUCAUUUUCACAAGGUCUGUGUAGUUCUUGAUCCUAGUAAAAUGCCCAGCAGUUCUUAAAUCCAGCUUAUUAUUCAAGUAUUUUAAAGCAGUGGAACAUUUUAUCAAAUUAAGUCAUAUUACAUCAAAUAAAACAUUGAUAAAAGCA
rnacentral:lncRNA from 1 species